CUUCUAAAAUUUGAGAACCAACUGCAACAGGAAACAGUAGAGUAGGAAUGAGAACUCAUAGCCCCUCGUUCCUACUGCUCAUAGAAGAUCUUGAGAAGGAUAAUACGUGGAAAUGGAUGUUAUUACACUUUUAUACAUGUUGAAACUCAGGUUCAAGGUUUUUGCAUGGAGUCAACGUUAAGCAACAGGUAACUUUGAAUUUCAAAUCAACAAAAUAUUGUUUGGGCAGCUUUCUGUAAGAUCUUAGGAACCAUCUGUAUCAGAGGCCACUGAGGAGCUUGUCUAGUGUGCAUAUUUCCAGACCCCUCACCCUCAGAACUGCUGAUUCAGCAGUUUUGGGGCAGGGGUCCAGGAGGCUGCAGCCUUAGCAAGUACCCCUGGUGAUUUUGACACAGGUAGCUCAGGGGCUGAACUUGGAGAAAUUUGUUCACAGGUCCACAUCACCAGCCUUACUUUAGGUUAGGCCUUUAAUCAGCUUUAAACCAGCAACCCUAAUCUGCUCGUCCCUUGAGUGGAUCUGGAUAAAGGUGUGGCAAACCAGGCACCGGUCACGGUGGGGUGUGACAGUCAUGGCGGCAUCCCCUUACCACAUCGUGUGCGCCACUCCCCACUUCUGCUGUGGCCACCAACCCCCGAGUUUCCCUUUGUCACUUCCCCCUUGCCAACACCAACUGCCACUACCCCUCUGCUCCUUACCCUCCAAGGCAGUCAGAU